GUGAUGUGGAGCCAGCCUCCCUGUGCACACAGCCCACACUGAGGCUGAAGGCCCAUCCUGUGAGGAACAAUGCCAGCAGCCAGCAAACUGCAUUAUGCUGUAUUAUGAGCCGGUAUUUACCAUCUGGCCCAAUCACAGUAACAAGCUGAGCACUUCUGAAUAAAAGACAUUUUUCCUCAAAAUUUAUACUGCCUCCAGUGCCAGUAUUCUCUAUGGACCCUGAGCACAUAAUUAUUUCAUGGGGUAUCCUGCACAUAGAUCCAAGCAGAUGCCGGGACAUCCUGCAGAAGUACCCACUGAGGGUUUAGGCUUUCCAAGGCACACAGGUCGUGCUUGACAUCUGGUUGCUGCAAAGACUAACACAAAAAUGUAUGAGAAAUUUAAUCGUGUUCCAAGAGCUGCAUCCCCGUUGAGCUGUGAACCCAGGCUUCCUUUGGCCUUUUUUGUGUGACAGUAUCUGUCGAACAACUUCUUCAAGAUGUCUCCUGGCAGCUUCUACCGGAUGCAUGCCAUUAUCUACUGUGCUGUCUCCUUGGGAAGGACCUCCACAUCCAACAGGUCAUGCAUUCUGUCAGCCAUAUCAGCUUGCCUAAGAAAGAUCCUGCCACUCCAUGUGAACUUGCUCUCCUGAAUGCUGUAAACCACCAGCACUCACAAAGGCACAAAUGUCAUGCACCUUUCUGAGAUGUUCCUGUCCAGCUCCAGUUCAUUGUUGGAUAUGUUAACCAGGAUCAGAGAUGUUCCCAUGAAGUUAAAAACGGGAACUGAAGACUGAAGAGCUACAGCUGUUUCAAGGCUGGUCACCUCUCAAAAAAACAAACCUUUGGAGGAUGUGCAUGUGGAGGUAGCUUCCGCUGCCCAAAGCAUCCCUGCUCCACCAGCAGCAUCCCAUGUGGUGUGGACUCAACUUUGGAGGGGCUUUCCCAAAAGUGUCAUCUACUUGGAGCCAAGUGGUAGCCCUGCAGCACAGACAAAACCCCUCCGCCAUGCCCUGCCCUGACUGCCCGCAGCCUCCUGAGCCCAUUCAGAGAAUCACAGAAUCACAGAAAGGGACUCUAUGAAGGGCCCUGAAACUGAUCAUUGAGCUCCAGCCCCCUGCGGUGGGCAGGGCUGUCACCCACCAGAUCAGGCUGCACAGGGCCACAUCCAGCCUGGCUUUGAGCACCUCCAGUGAUAGGGCAUUCCCUCCUUCCUUUCAGGACAUGACCGGGUCUGGUGACCAAAUCACUUCCCACACAGGGAAGCACUAGUGGAGCUAGAUCCAGCUCUCCUAAUUAUCACACAGAGCCUGUAGACUGUUAACAGCAGCCCACAUUAGCAUGGAGCCAAGUCCUUAGUGUGCUGUGAUAAUAACAGUGUUUAAUAGAAUUAGGGGAAGUAUAUAAUCAGAAUAAGACUGCUGUGUGUACACAAAGGCAAGAUUAAUACACAACCAGUGAGCCAGGGCUAAGUCGAUAAAGUGGAAUUCACUGGGAGCCAGGAUAGCAGACAGGUAAACAUUAAUCUCUGUGUGUGAUGUGGAGUUUAGAGAUCAGAUGUUACUUGAAACCCGUGCAGAUGCAUGGGGUAUAUGGAGGGCACCACAGCCUCUGUUACCUUACACUCCUCAUGUGGAGCAGGAAGAGCUGCAUUCUUUGUGAUUAACCCAGCUUGAACUUUGAAAUGUGACUCCCAAAUAUUUGCGAGAAUACUGCAACUAAGACAAAGGAGUGGGGCUUUAAAGACCCUGUGGUUCUACAGUGUGCAGCUAGCUUCCUGCGGGGCUUAGGGCAAGUCCCUGCACCUCCCGGGACCUCAAUUGCCCAUGAAUUUCCUCCAAAUAGAUUUCCUUUGCACAUCUUAUUUCCAUGGGGAAUUAGUAUGGAAGUUUCAGAAGGGAAACACAAGAAGGCUAAACGAGAAACUUCAACACCCAAACUAAAACUGUGGGGGAGUUUUUCUUAUUUCAAGGAAGAAGAGCACAGUUGGUCACAAAGCCAGCAAACAUUUCCAGCUUCGAAAGAGGUCUGUGCCUAAAUACCUGGGUACUUCUCUGUUACUGAUCACAUACCCACACAUACCAGUAUUUCACCACAUUUAAUUGGCUGAUCAGCCACCUGAAGGUGCCAGAAGGCAUCAUCUUUCCAGGGAUCGCUGAUGGAUAGUUGUAAAUUUCUUAGGUCAAGAAAGAAAGUUUUGUAUUCUGGGGGCUUUAAUACAGACAUAUUGCCCAGCUUUGGCUGGCCAUUAAAUUAAUCCCUUUCUUUCCAGAAGCAAUCACAAAGGAUCCCAAAUGAUAAGCUGAGGAGAGCCCCAGGGAUUCCAUCACCCCUGGAUGCAGUGUGCCCACAUUUAGAGCAGGAGUAGGGAAGGUCUCAGCUCCUGCAGCCCAGGACACCGUACUUCAAUGAGCCCCAGCCAGCACAACCUACUUAUUUUACCCUUGUGAAAGUGCUUUAACUUCAGAAUAAAAUAUUGUUUUACCCUCUGCCCUGCUGCUCUGUGUAACUCCAGUGUCAGCUUCCAAAACUAUAACAAACCUCCUAAACAAACACAUUUUAAGCUCUGCUUCCAAACCAGGCUGGGUAAGGAGCAAGCAAGCUGAAUUAGAUGCAGGAGCCGAUUCAUCACCCCUUCCUCUGCCUCCUGGUCCCCCUGCCAUUUUGGGCAUUCCCAGCUGUGUCACCUGCAUGACAAACAGGGCUGAAGGAGUUGUUUUCGCAAGGUGCCAGUGGCCAGUCAGCCUCUUUGCAAGGUGAGGGCGAGCUGCCAGCUGUCUCCUCAAGGAGCACAGCCCUGGAAGCCAGCAGAGCAGGAGGAGAGGGAGGGUAUGGAAACUUCCCAGGGGAGGAUUGUUGCAGAGACUGAACAGGCUCUGCUCUAUCCAAGCACAAGGAAAUGUAUUAAUGUCAGGCCCAAGUGCCCUGCUUUGUCUCAUGACAGCACCUUCGCAAACAUCUCAAACAUUUGUUUUCUUUUGUGCAGCCUCACAUGCCACCACCCAGCACCAACAAAUAGAAGCUCCAUACUUUUUAAGCACAGCCUUAUGAGGAAAUACUGUUACAAUGAGCCGCAGCUCUGUCCUGGCAUGGCGAUAAAAAUGCUGGCAGAGAUGGGAGGCAGAGCAUGUGCAGAGCAGCAGCUGCAAGAAGAGGGGCCUGCGGCAACUGCAAUGGCUCCCAGGAGCCAGUGGGGAGAAUGGGCCAUACAGAGAAAUCCAGGAGACCUCUUAGGAAGGACUUGCUAUGGGGUUAGUUAAAGCUGUUUUACGACUCUCUGGACUGGGAAAGAAACAAGCAAGUCCUGUUUUUCUGAGGUACAGUGAACUGUGUCACUGCUGUAGCACCAGAAGGAGCUGCCGCCCUGCAAGAAG
ensembl:lncRNA